UACGUGAAACCGUUCAGGGGUAAACCUGAGAAACCCGAAAGNGUCNGAGGGCGGAGAUUCAAUGCGUAAUCGUUCAAUCGUCGNAGGCUNCUUCCGNGCGACUGGCUUCGCGGUCCGUUAAUUCGGAUUUAGCGGAGUCGCGCUCGGGGACCGCUUCGGUUACGACCGCGUGCAAUUCUCCGCUAGUAGGACGUCGCGACCCGUCGAGUGCCGGUCUAAGGCCCGUCCGGGAGCCCGUCGGGACGGCGCGCGGUUUCGGCCGCCGUCGCAUCCCCGGCGGACCGGUGCGGUGUCCGGUCCGGCUCGCUCGACGGUAUUCAGAGUGGAGUGGUUAGGGCCGCCAAACUGUUGGCGCACGACCCGUCGCAAGCGCGGCGAAGUUCCGGCGGAAAUUCGGGCCCCGUCCCGACCCCGGGACCGUCCGGCUGCUGGCGGCGAGGUUCUCGUGCAGACCCAGAACACACCCGUCGGCGACGCUAUAGCUUUGGGUACUUUCAGGACCCGUCUUGAAACACGGACCAAGGAGUCUAGCAUGUACGCGAGUCAUUGGGAACUCUUUAACUAAACCUAAAGGCGAAAUGAAAGUGAAGGCGCGCCUCGCGCGCGCCUAGGGAGGAUGGGCGACGUCCCGAGGCGGUAAAAGGCCGACGGAAUCGGAGCCCCGCACUCCCGGGGCGUCUCGUUCUCAUCGCGAGAAGAGGCGCACCCAGAGCGUACACGCUGGGACCCGAAAGAUGGUGAACUAUGCCUGGUCAGGACGAUAGUCAGGGGAAACCCUGAUGGAGGUCCGUAGCGAUUCUGACGUGCAAAUCGAUCGUCGGAACUGGGUAUAGGGGCGAAAGACUAAUCGAACCAUC
rnacentral:rRNA from 1 species